UACUACUACUUGAAUAGAUUUUUAUUUUAUUUACUGGUAUUAUCUAAAAAUGUCUCAUUCUUAUUUUUUUCACGAUAAAUUUGUAGCUGAAGAGUUUAAACUUUUUCAAUAUGCUGUUCUGCAUGUUUGUCUGUCAAUUAUAAAAGAUACAAUCCAAUGCGUUGGUCGUGAACAUGAUGAAAGUUUUCAGCCAUUUGGAUAUCCAUUUAAGGAAAUGCUUGUUAGCAGUUCUCCUGAAUGUUAAUUAGCUUACAGCAGUUUUUAAAGCAGUUCUUAUCAAUAUUCAUACUGGACAGCUGUUUUCACAGACCUCAUUAAAAUAUUUCGGCCUAUACAACAGCUAAAGAACUGGGAAUGCUAAAUAACUGCUGUUAACUGCUAUUGGAAUGUGUGUAUGCAAAUUACUAGUUUGCAUAAAGUGAGUGAACUGGAAUGCUAAGGAACAGCU